AUUUGAUAAAUUUUUAAUUGUUGAAUACUUUUUUUUGUGCUAAUUUUUAUGUGAUUAAGAUUUAAUUUAAGAUUUAAUUGAUUUUGUAUAUAAAAUAUUAAAAGUAAAUUGUGAGUUGUAUAUGUUUUGUUGAUAUUAUCUAUAUUGUUUAGUGUUUAAGAUUAUACACUUGUAGUUUGAUUGUUAAUUUAAGAGUUUCACAUGUAGUAUACCAUCUUGUAUUAAUAUCGAUCUAAACCCGUCAAUUCUACGAUUUUCCAGCUUGUAUUAAAAAUUGAAUCACAUCAUACACAUAAAAAAAUCUAAUAUGUUAUUAAUUAUUGUAGUAUAUAAGAUUAUAAAUUUUCAAUAUAAUAUGUAUGAAAUUGAAUAUAAAUAUUUCAAAUUAUGACCCGUUAUAAUAUUUUUUCAUGUAUUGAACAGUUUAUAUUCGUUUUCAAAAAUUCAAAUUAUGGCAUAUGCGAAAAAACUCUAAUUUUUUUUUUUAUAAUGAUGAUAUUAUUUUUCGCAAAAAUAGAAUCAUAUAAAGAUGAGAAGUGAACUAUAAUAAUUAAUAAAAAAUUAAUAUGAUAAUUUA
rnacentral:sRNA from 1 species